UACGUAGGGUGCAAGCGUUAUCCGGAAUUAUUGGGCGUAAAGAGCUCGUAGGCGGUUUGUCGCGUCUGCUGUGAAAACUGGAGGCUCAACCUCCAGCCUGCAGUGGGUACGGGCAGACUAGAGUGCGGUAGGGGAGAUUGGAAUUCCUGGUGUAGCGGUGGAAUGCGCAGAUAUCAGGAGGAACACCGAUGGCGAAGGCAGGUCUCUGGGCCGUUACUGACGCUGAGGAGCGAAAGCAUGGGGAGCGAACAGG
rnacentral:rRNA from 1 species